rnacentral:rRNA from 1 species
GUAGUCCACGCCCUAAACGAUGGAUACUAGGCGUAAGAGGUAUCGACCCCUCUUGUGCCGCAGCUAACGCAUUAAGUAUCCCGCCUGGGGAGUACGGCCGCAAGGUUGAAACUCAAAUGAAUUGACGGGGACCCGCACAAGCGGUGGAGCAUGUGGUUUAAUUCGAUACUAACCGAAGAACCUUACCCAGACUUGACAUCGAUCGCAAAGCCUUGAAAGAGGCUCCUCCCCCACAAGGGGACGUGAAGACACUUGUUGCAUGGCUGUCGUCAGCUCGUGCCGUGAGGUGUACGGUUAAGUCCGCCAACGAGCGCAACCCACGUCUGUGUUACCAGCAUGAAAGAUGGGGA